UGGGGAAUUUUGGACAAUGGGCGAAAGCCUGAUCCAGCAAUGCCGCGUGUGUGAAGAAGGCCUUCGGGUUGUAAAGCACUUUUUGUCCGGAAAGAAAUCCUUGGCUCUAAUACAGUCGGGGGAUGACGGUACCGGAAGAAUAAGCACCGGCUAACUACGUGCCAGCAGCCGCGGUAAUACGUAGGGUGCAAGCGUUAAUCGGAAUUACUGGGCGUAAAAGCGUGCGCAGGCGGUUUGCUAAAGACCGAUGUGAAAAUCCCCGGGCUCAAACCUGGGAACUGCAUUGGUGACUGGCAGGCUAGAGUAUGGCAGAGGGGGGUAGAAAUUCCACGUGUAGCAAGUGAAAAUGCGUAGAGAUGUGGAGGAAUACCGAUGGCGAAGGCAGCCCCCUGGGCCAAAUACUGACGCUCAUGC
rnacentral:rRNA from 1 species